UACGGAGGUGGCAAGCGUUGCUCGGAAUCACUGGGCGUAAAGGGGGCGUAGGCGGGGAGGUAAGUCGGGUGUGAAAUCCCUCGGCCCAACCGAGGAACUGCGCCCGAGACUGCUUCUCUUGAGUCCCGGAGAGGAAGGUGGAAUUCCCGGUGUAGCGGUGAAAUGUGUAGAGAUCGGGAGGAACACCGGUGGCGAAGGCGGCCUUCUGGACGGUGACUGACGCUGAGGCGCGAAAGCGUGGGGAGCAAACGGG
rnacentral:rRNA from 1 species